AAUACGUUCCCGGACCUUGCACACACCGCCCGUCAAGCCAUGGAAGCUGGGUGUACCUAAAGUCGGUAACCGCAAGGAGCUGCCUAAGGGUAAACUAGUAACUGGGGCU
rnacentral:rRNA from 1 species